GACGAACGCUGGCGGCGUGCCUAAUACAUGCAAGUUGAGCGCUGAGGGUUGGUACUUGUCCCAACUGGAUGAGCAGCGAACGGGUGAGUAACGCGUGGGGAAUCUGCCUUUGAGCGGGGGACAACAUUUGGAAACGAAUGCUAAUACCGCAUAAAAACUUUAAACACAAGUUUUAAGUUUGAAAGAUGCAAUUGCAUCACUCAAAGAUGAUCCCGCGUUGUAUUAGCUAGUUGGUGAGGUAAAGGCUCACCAAGGCGAUGAUACAUAGCCGACCUGAGAGGGUGAUCGGCCACAUUGGGACUGAGACACGGCCCAAACUCCUACGGGAGGCAGCAGUAGGGAAUCUUCGGCAAUGGACGAAAGUCUGACCGAGCAACGCCGCGUGAGUGAAGAAGGUUUUCGGAUCGUAAAACUCUGUUGGUAGAGAAGAACGUUGGUGAGAGUGGAAAGCUCAUCAAGUGACGGUAACUACCCAGAAAGGGACGGCUAACUACGUG
rnacentral:rRNA from 1 species